rnacentral:lncRNA from 1 species
CAUUAGACAUCGUGUAGAAGAAGGACAACUCGUAGUGAAGAGGAUAUCAUCAGAAGAUAACCCAGCAGAUCCGCUUACGAAGGGACUGAGUAGGGUUAAGCACUUGCAGCAUGCUAGGAGUAUUGGGCUGAAGGAUGAUAUUAGCAUAGAUUAGAUAGUAUUAGAAACGUGUAAUAGAUAAAUGUAAUUGACAUUUGAUGAUUAAAUAAAGGAGUUUUAUUUAUGAGUAAUGUUACUAUCUUAUGUUAAUUGUUUAGCUAUUGUUUCACUUUGCAUGUUUUGACUUCCAGAAUAAUUGAGUUUAUUAGGAAUAAUCGAAUUAUUCAAAUGGUCCACAAUCGUUCAUAUGUUGGGAGUAGAUAUGAAAGAAGAUUGUCAUGAAUUGGUGUGUAGAAUGUCUAAAUGGUGUUAGACAUAGCAAAGGAUUGCUGCAACGUUCAUGAGUGCUUAUGAACUAGUUUUGAGCAUUGGAAUAAACCCGCGCUUGCUGGAAUCACCUUAUGGAAUACGAUAUAAAAGGUGAUCGCAAGACGAUAAUAUCAUAUAGUCUUAAAACCUAGAUAUAUGGUUUAUUAUUUGUUAAUUGAUUGUACAUUGAUAAUACGAAAACGCAUCAGUAACUUGGUGUUAUAAAACGUAUUGUUGUGUAUAGUUGGUUAAUGAAUAAGUAAAUGCAUAUAAGUCGAAGUUUAUCUGUAACUUUUAUCUAAGAAGGUAAAAGCGAUAUCUCGGCCGCUCGAUGAUUUGAUUUGACUUAUGUGCCGGGCCCGGUCAGAACUGAAUUGAUGUGUUCGAUUAAGUUCUAUGUCAAAUAAAUCAGAGAUCGAGAAACCUAAAUGCUUGACUAACCAUUCCAUAGGAUUGUCAGCAUGAUAUCUAACAGAGGACUGUACGUUCCCUUAUCUAAAGGACAAGAUUGAUUAGAUCAGAGUUGACAGCGUCUUUGAGAGCUACGAUUGCAAACCGAAUUGUACUUGUAUAGUUACUAGACUUAUCCAAGUGGGAGACUGUUGGAAUAGUGUCUAAGGCUGUAACUAUAUCCGGUUGUGCAUGGUCCUUUUGGGUUGCCUUCACCAUAGCAACUUGAUAGGAUGAUUUAUUAAGAGAGAAUAAAUAUUAUUAAUAUAUUAUGGGAAUAAUAUAAUGAAUAAUAUAUUUGUUAUUUGAUUAAUAUAAGUCAUAGAAUUAAUUAGAAUUAAUUUGGUGACUUAAAGAGAUUAAUUAAAUAAAGGGGUAUAAACUGUCAAUUGUUUGAUAGUUAAGCUUUAAACUGUAAAUCCAUUUGGAUAUACUAUGGACGAAUUCUAAGAGGAUUAGGAUAGCUAAAAUCGUCCAUUAGAGUUAUCUAGGAAUGGAUUUGGAUAGCCUUAAGAGAAGAUUAUCUGAUAGGGACUUAUCUGUAAUCCUUAAGGAGUCUACAAGUAUAAAUAGACCCCAUGGCUGAUGGAAUUCGACACUUGACCUAAAGUAAGGAACCUCUGGUCGAAAUUCCUCCCCUCUCCUCUCUCCCAAAUCAUCCUCCUUGCUUUGGUGUUUGUAAGCCAUUAGAGGAGUGACAUUUGUGACUCUAGAAGCUCCAAGACCUCAAGAUCAACAAGGAACUCAAAGGUAUGAUUCUAGAUCUGUUUUAAUGUUCUUGUUUAACCUAAUUAGUAAUUAGAAGUCUUGGAUUCAAAGCAUGUUUAUUAGAAAGCCUAGAUCCAAGCAUUAGGGUUUUGCAUGCGCACAUAGGAAAGUUCUUAUGGCUAAAACCCAUCAGUGGUAUCAGAGCCUAGCUUGGUUUUCUGUAAAUUGUUGCUUGAUUAACUGAAACAAACCUGCAAAAUUCGAAUUUUUGGUUUCUGAGUCAUGGACUCGGCGAGUCUCAAAGUGGACUCGGCGAGUAGGCCUGACUCGGCGAGUCCAUUUGUGCACUCGGCGAGUCCAGGCGUCAGGAAUGGCCAGAUUCGGGAUUUCUUUGUGUUUAUCUUAUCUUAACUUACCAUAAACUAAUUAGAUCAACAUUAAUUCGUUUUUCUGAUAAAUAUAACUAUUAUCUUGAUCUAGUUAAAGGUAAUUAUCAACUAAUUAAAUAUUUAAUUUCCUUAUAUGAUAAUUAAUUAAUUAUUUUGAUUAUUUUGGUAAUUAUCUUUAAAAGAAAUCUUGAAUAAAUCAAAUAUAGAUAAUUAGGAUAUUAAUUGUUAAUUGGAAUUAUUUGUUAUUUGAUCCUCCAUGUUUUAAAUGUUUAAAACCUACCCUCAUGUUUUGAAAUUUACUUUUGUGAUUAAAAGUUUUAAUUUAGACAACUUAAAUUUCAAACCCUAGAUUUUAAAAGUUUUAAAAUACAACCCUAUACUAAUAUGAUAUUACUAGAAUAAUAUAUAUAUGUAUAACUAAAUGCUAGUCUUACCGUUAGUAGGCCUCAUUCACGAAGCCGAUCUAUAAGGUGGGUAUAAGGUUGCGGCCUAUAAAAUGGCGCUUAAUGGGUGUACACUCACACCCACCGCUUGCUUGAUUGGUGGAGGGUCGUUAGCCGAACGGGUAGGAUAGGGCAACCUCAUCCUCUCAUUAAAAGUAUAAUAAGAAAUAUAAAGUAACUACACAUUUUUUUAAAAUUUCCCAAUCCUAGUUACUUUAGGAAAAGUGAAUUGAUGCAAUCCCAUGAAAUUACACUUUGCACCUUGCUAAGAUGUUAGUGGAGCGUGUGUGGUUUACCGGCACACUAAUUGGUUCUAAGCGAAGGUGGCAAAGGGUGAUUCAUUGUUUAUCAUAGUUCGAUGGAGCGUGUGUGGUUUACCGGCACAUCGAAUAGGUGAUUGUUACAAUGAAGGCACCAUGUGAAUUUGCAUGGUAAUUCACACCCGCUUUGUGAUCCUCGGCAUCCCAGUCACAAACAAGAGGGGCAUAUCGAGAUUUAAACAUGCCAUUGAAUAGUUUCAAUGAAUCUCAUCCGAACCUAGGAAUUCUCAAAAACACUUAGGACUAAUAGUUUAAGUUUUGUGAUGGAGAAUUAGUGAAUCGUCAUUCACUUACCUUCAAUUUAUUUGCAUGUUAGAUUACGGCAUCCCUUUUCUAGUAUGUAAAUGUUAUUGUUGGAUCCUAGCCCUAAUUUUCUUAUUGGGUGAUAAUUAGGGAUUCUUAUUCUAAUCUAUCUUUGUCCUUUUCUAAUUGUAGAUGUCGAACGCAAACAACGCUGCUGCUAGUUCUUUCACGUUGAUGAGCCUUUGCCAAAAGGUCACCUUCGAUGGAACGAACUUUAGCGAAUGGAUAAGAUACAUUCGCACCAUUGCUCGCUAUGAGGAUAAGGAGUAUGUCCUCGAUGAGAAGCUCGAGAAAAUCAACCCCGAAAUUGCUACUCCCGCCGAAAUCACCGCCUUUGAAACUCAUGAGCGAGAUGCAACGAAGGUACAUUGCAUCAUGAUCGCCACCAUGAACUCCGAAUUCCAAAAGUCCUACGAGGACAUGUACCCGUACGAGAUGCAUCAAGACUUAUUGGAGAGGUACCACCAAAACGCGAGACAAGAGAGGUACGAGAUUUUCACUAACAUGAUUUCCGCGAAGAUGGGUCAUGGAGAAUCUCUUACCGUGCACUUGCAAAAGAUGCAAAGGUAUGUUGACCGCCUCCGCAAGUUAAAUGUUGACUUCGGUGAAGACUUGGCGAUCGACAUGGUGCUUCACUCUUUGCCUCCGAUGUACAACCAAUUUAGGAUGACCUACCACAUGAACAAAGAAGAGGUCACCCUAAGCAAGCUCCAAGGUCUCUUGAGGGUUGCUGAGAGCAACUUCAAAGACAAGUCUGUUGCACCUACUCCCAAUCCGCCCGCUGCUCCUGUCUUGGCUAUUGGACAAGGGAAGGGAAAGAAGAGGAAAGCUUCAUCGAAGAACUAUCGCAAGGUGAAAGCCCGAGAUGGUGCCUCUUCUAGUGGGACCAAAGUUGAUCCCGCCAAGCCCUGCUCUAACCCGAAGGAGGCAGAGUGCCACCACUGCCACAAGAUAGGACAUUGGAAGAGAAGCUGCCCGGAUUACCUGCAAGCAAUCAAAGAAGGAAAGAUCAAGCCAUCUUUCGCAGGUAUAUAUACAAUCAAAUCUAACGAUUCUAAUCAUGCUAUUUCUUGGGUUCUUGAUACCGGUUGUGGUUAUCACAUUUGUUCUAAUGUGCAGGGACUAAGAAGAAGUAGGGAUGUGGAGCAAGGAAGGAUCAAUCUAAUCAUGGGGAACAGAAGAUCGUCGCCUGUGACCAAGAUUGGAGUGUAUUCCUUAGUGCUUAGGAAUAGUUUAGUUUUAGAUUUGAACAAUUGUUGCUAUUCGCCAGAAAUGGCAAGAAACAUCAUUUCAUUUCAUGGUUUAUAUAGACAAGGAUUUAGAUUUUCUUUUAAUAAUGAGAAUGGUUCUAUUUUGGCUUAUCUAAAUGGUGUCUUUUACUUUGAAGCUAUACCAUGUAAUGGAAUAUAUGAAACCGUUAUGAUUGUUGAUAACUUAGGAAAUGAUGUUUUGAAUAUUGAUUCUUCCACUAGUAUGGAUAAAGCAUCCUUGUGGCAUUGUCGUCUUGGACAUGUCAACAAGAAACGCAUAGCCCAACUCCAAAAGGAUGGAGUGUUGGAGUCAUUCGACCUUAGGGAAGAUGACACAUGCGAGUCUUGUUUGCUUGGAAAGAUGACUAAGUCACCCUUCACGAGUACAUGUGAAAGGGGCGAGGGUCUAUUGGACCUAAUACAUACCGAUGUAUGUGGACCGUUUAGAUCAACCACGAAGGAUGGGAACCGCUUCUAUGUGACUUUUACCGAUGACUAUAGUAGAUAUGGGUAUAUCUACUUAAUCAAGCAAAAGUCAGAAACCUUUGAAAAGUUCAAAGAGUUCAAGAAUGAAGUGGAGAAUCAAUUGGGCAGGAAAAUCAAGAUGCUUCGAUCCGAUCGAGGAGGAGAGUACCUAAGUCUUGAAUUCCACGAUUAUCUCAAGGAGUGUGGAAUAGUUUCGCAAUUGACGCCUCCUAGGACACCGCAGUUGAAUGGUGUGGCAGAAAGGCGUAAUCGAACCUUAUUGGAUAUGGUUCGCUCUAUGAUGAGUCGUGCUUCACUACCAAUCUCUUUUUGGGGGUAUGCCUUAGAGACUGCCGCCCAUAUCCUUAACCGAGUCCCUACUAAGAAGGUUGCCAAAACACCUCACGAGAUGUGGACAGGGAAAGCUCCCUCGUUGGCACAUAUCAAGGUUUGGGGUUGCGAGGCUUUCGUAAGACGAGAUACUCACGACAAGCUUGAACCUCGAAGUGAGCGAUGUAUUUUCAUCGGCUACCCGCAGACAUCCUUUGGAUAUCUCUUCUAUAGACCGAAGGACAAUGUUGUCUUCGUUGCGAGGAGAGGAGUUUUCCGAGAGCGAGAACUCAUAAGCCAAGGAGACAGUGGGAGGCAAAUCGAGCUUGAAGAGAUUCAAGAGUCGAUAGAUGAAGGAACCUCUACCGCUGGCACUCAACCCGAGGAGGAAACUCCGGUUGAACCGAUUGACGAAUCCUUACCUCUUAGACGUUCCGAUAGAGUUAGAGUUCUACCCCAGUUUUAUGGUUUUCAUAUUACUACCGAAGGGGACACGUAUAUUAGUGAUGGUACACUAAUAAAUCUUGAUGAACCUAAUAGCUAUAAGGAAGCCAUGGCAGGCCCGGAGUCUGCAAAAUGGAAAGAGGCAAUGGAUAGCGAGAUCCAAUCCAUGUAUGAUAACCAAGUUUGGAAUUUGGUUGAUUAUGUGCCCGGACGUAAGACCGUUGGGUGCAAAUGGAUCUUCAAGAAGAAGACCGACGUGGAUGGAAACGUACACACAUAUAAAGCGCGAUUGGUUGCGAAGGGCUUUACUCAAACUCCCGGAGUUGACUAUGAUGAGACCUUCUCACCAGUUGCGAAGAUUAAAUCUAUUAGAGUGAUGCUAGCAAUUGCCGCAUUUCAUGAUUAUGAGAUUUGGCAAAUGGAUGUCAAGACCGCUUUCCUUAACGGGAAGUUGGCUGAGGAUGUUUACAUGGCUCAGCCAGAGGGGUUUGUGGAUCCGAAGCAUCCGAAUAGAGUGUGUAAGCUUGAGAAGUCCAUUUAUGGACUUAAGCAAGCGUCUCGCAGAUGGAAUCUUUGCUUCGAUGAGAAAGUCAAAGAGUUUGGAUUUGUACGAAGCGAAGACGAAUCUUGUGUAUAUGUCAAAGCCAGUGGGAGUAUAGUAAGCUUCCUCGUUCUAUAUGUCGAUGACAUAUUACUCAUAGGAAACGACAUCCCGACUCUGCAGGAAGUUAAGUCCUGGCUCGGGAAGUGCUUCGCUAUGAAGGACCUCGGAGAAGCUUCUUACAUUUUGGGAAUAAGGAUAGUGAGAGAAAGAAGUAAGAGACUAAUUGGACUUAGUCAGAACACUUUCUUAGAGAAGGUACUGAAACGUUUUAGUAUGGAAAACUUAAAGAAGGGAGAAUUACCGAUACAAAGUAAUGCCAAUUUGAGUAAGAUUCAAAGUCCGAGUACCGAAGCUGAAAUAGCAGAAAUGAGCCGAGUACCAUACGCUUCCGCAGUUGGCUCGAUCAUGUAUGUUAUGAUGUGUACUCGUCCUGAUGUGGCUUUCGCCUUGAGCAUGGUUAGUAGAUAUCAAGGGAACCCUAGCAGAGUCCAUUGGAUUGCGGUUAAGAAUAUCCUUAAGUACCUUCGGAGGACGAAGGAAUGGUUCUUAGUCCUCGGAGGGAGUGAUGACUUGAAGGUGCGAGGGUAUAGUGACGCCAGCUUUCAGACCGACAGGGACAACUACCGUUCGCAGUCGGGCUGGGUCUUUACCCUAAAUGGAGGAGCAGUGACUUGGAAAAGUUCCAAGCAGGAAACCGUAGCUGAUUCAACGUGCGAAUCAGAGUACAUUGCAGCGAGCGAAGCGUCGAAGGAGGCAAUAUGGUUGAAGAACUUCAUCGGUGAUCUUGGAGUUGUACCUGCCAUAAAGGAGCCCAUGGAGAUUUUCUGUGAUAAUGAAGGAGCGGUUGCCUUGACCAAGGAACCGAGGGAUCAUGGUAGAUCUCGACAUAUCGACAGAAAAUAUCACUUUAUUAUACAUCGCGUAGAAGAAGGACAACUCGUAGUGAAUAUGAUAUCAUCGGAAGAUAACCCAGCAGAUCCGCUUACGAAGGGACUGAGUAGGGUUAAGCACUUGCAGCAUGCUAGGAGUAUUGGGCUGAAGGAUGAUAUUAGCAUAGAUUAGAUAGUAUUAGAAACGUGUAAUAGAUAAAUGUAAUUAACAUUUGAUGAUUAA